GGGUUGUGAGGUUAAGCGACUAAGCGUACACGGUGGAUGCCCUGGCAGUCAGAGGCGAUGAAGGACGUGCUAAUCUGCGAUAAGCGUCGGUAAGGUGAUAUGAACCGUUAUAACCGGCGAUUUCCGAAUGGGGAAACCCAGUGUGUUUCGACACACUAUCAUUAACUGAAUCCAUAGGUUAAUGAGGCGAACCGGGGGAACUGAAACAUCUAAGUACCCCGAGGAAAAGAAAUCAACCGAGAUUCCCCCAGUAGCGGCGAGCGAACGGGGAGCAGC
rnacentral:rRNA from 1 species